UUGAGGGUGCGUGAAAAUACUGUCGGAAGAGGAGGCAUUUCGAUCUGCAGCCCUGCCGUGCUGGGUUUCUGAGCUCUGCUGCUCUCUUUCUCUGGGUAACAGGAGACUUGAAGACAUCGCCCAGAAGGUAGAGCUUCAAAUCCUGUUCUAGGGCCCAGAAGCAGAGGCUAAUUUGGGAAUCGGGACUAACCAACUGAUCCCACUGGUGAACAGAGAAACUCAAGAGUUCAAGGCAAGGCCUCAAGUCCAGCAAAGUGUAAUACCCUUGAAACCCCAAAUCCUGGUGGGCACUGGUGCGUCCCACUCAAGGGUCCAGAUGCUCAUUUUUGCAUGGAUACACUGUUGAGGAUUUUUCUGCCUGGGAUGCCUUCCCCCUCCUCCUCACAGCCCAUUUUUUUCUCCACACAUCAUUUCUGAGUCUAUAAUUCCUAUAAAAUUUUAAUAUCCAGCUUAAAUGUUCAUCUCUCCAUAAUUCCCCUGUCUGAACCCUUUUUGUCCUUGGUCCAAAAUAACUUGAAAUGAUUUUCUUCUAUGGAAAUUGUGGGGUUUUUUCCCAUUAUGUAAGUGCCUUGACUCAAUUUGAUUUAUUACUUCAGCAUCUAUGUAGUAGCUUUCUGUGCUGUGUGUUCUUCUUCUAUAAAUGGGGGAUGAUAACAACAGUACCUUCCUCAGUGAGUUGCAGUGAUGUUUAAAUGAGUUAACAACAUAAAUGGCAACAGAACCAGAUACAUAGUAAAUGUCCAAAGAAGUUAGCAAUGAUGACGAUAAUGUAUAUCGUUAUAAUAACCCCAUAUACCAUUGGUAAAUAUUUUGGAAUGAAAGAAUAGGUAAAAAUAAUUAUCAAUUACUUUGAAGCAUGGGUGACUUGAACACCCAGGCCCAAGUUCCAGACUCCCCUGAGGAUUGCUUCAUCAUCACUGGGCUCACCUAGAGUCUGGGAGUCUCUGUUGUUAGGUUCAUGCAAGAUCUCCAGGUCUUGCAUGCUUGUUAGAUAAAACCCCACAUAGGGUUAAACAGAAGACCCAAAGACAGGGAACUCUUCUCAGAAGGAAAGAAAAUUGCCAUUAGUUUUAUUGCUGUGGUUUCUGCUGCUGUGGAUGUUUUUUAAAUUAUCUAAUUUUGAGAGCCUGGGAAAUGACAAAGAGCCCGGCUGUCCAAUUAUAACACUGGUUGUGUAAACCCAGGAGACUUGGAGUCUCUUAAAAUUUGUGUAAAGAAGGGCUGAUCAUAAUCACAAUACAUCACCACUGAUGUGUUUUGUUUGCAUGGUAUCAUUUGGUUCUAGUGAUUUUUUCCUGCAUUAUUCUAGGUGACAUGCUAUCUCUCCAUCAAAACAGGGAAGUGAAGCCUUGGAGGGAAUAUAGUAAUCUGCAUUUCUCUUGUAUCCAUUCUUUCAUAGGACUUCACAGACCACUGGAUCUCACGCUUUGGUGAGAGCAUCUCAUGAGGACUUUGCUAUCAAAGCAGAUUUUAGAACCCAUCCGCAGGCGUUCAGACUCAGUGUCUCUGCCUCGAAAUAGGCAUUUUAAACAAGAUCCUUAGGUUUUUCUAAGGCAGGCAUCUUCUGGUCCUUGUAUUUCAAAACAUUGCUUUUUAUGGACAUAUAGGAAUACACAGAGGCAUACAUGCAGUUUAACUGGAAAAAUAUUAAGUUUAACUGUCAUUUAUACAUUCAUUACAACAUAUUUCAUUCACCAAAUAUUACCAAAACUUAGGAUGUGCAAUAAAGAUUCAGAGUAAAAAAAAGUCCCUCCCAUCAUGGAGCUUAAAUUCUUACUGGUUAGAAACAAUUCAUCAACAAAUAAAUGCACAUCCACUUAUACAUGUGCAUGUAUGUUUGUUUAUUAUAUAUGUAAUAUGACAUCAUAUACACUAAAGGUUAUAUAUGUGUAGUAUGGCAUUCUAUAUAGUAUAUACUAUAUAGACAAUAUAUACAUAUACUAUAUACUAUAUUUACUAUAUAUAUUAUAUAUAGGCUAUAUAAUAUAUACUAUAUAGUAUAUGCUAUAUAUACUCUAUAUUACAUGUAGUGUAGAUACUAUAUUAAUACUAUAACAUAACAAAUAUAAUACUGUUUUAUAGUAUAUUUAUAUAUUAUAUAUAGUAUAUUAUAGGUACUAGUAUAGUACAUUAUAUUAGUAUGAUAUAUAGUAUGUUAAUACAGUAAAUUAUA
ensembl:lncRNA LINC00836 long intergenic non-protein coding RNA 836